rnacentral:rRNA from 1 species
AGUGAACGCUGGCGGUAGGCCUAACACAUGCAAGUCGAACGGCAGCACAGUAAGAGCUUGCUCUUACGAGUGGCGAGUGGCGGACGGGUGAGGAAUACAUCGGAAUCUACUUUUUCGUGGGGGAUAACGUAGGGAAACUUACGCUAAUACCGCAUACGACCUACGGGUGAAAGCAGGGGAUCUUCGGACCUUGCGCGAUUGAAUGAGCCGAUGUCGGAUUAGCUAGUUGGCGGGGUAAAGGCCCACCAAGGCGACGAUCCGUAGCUGGUCUGAGAGGAUGAUCAGCCACACUGGAACUGAGACACGGUCCAGACUCCUACAGGAGGCAGCAGUGGGGAAUAUUGGACAAGGGGCGCAAGCCUGAUCCAGCCAUACCGCGUGGGUGAAGAAGGCUUUCGGGUUGUAAAGCCCUUUUGUUGGGAAAGAAAAGCAGCAGGUUAAUACCCCGCUGUUCUGACGGUACCCAAAGAAUAAGCACCGGCUAACUUCGUG